GAUGAACGCUGGCGGCGUGCCUAAUACAUGCCAGUCGAGCGAACAGACGAGGAGCUUGCUCCUCUGACGUUAGCGGCGGACGGGUGAGUAACACGUGGAUAACCUACCUAUAAGACUGGGAUAACUUCGGGAAACCGGAGCUAAUACCGGAUAAUAUAUUGAACCGCAUGGUUCAAUAGUGAAAGACGGUUUUGCUGUCACUUAUAGAUGGAUCCGCGCCGCAUUAGCUAGUUGGUAAGGUAACGGCUUACCAAGGCAACGAUGCGUAGCCGACCUGAGAGGGUGAUCGGACACACUGGAACUGAGACACGGUCCAGACUCCUACGGGAGGCAGCAGUAGGGAAUCUUCCGCAAUGGGCGAAAGCCUGACGGAGCAACGCCGCGUGAGUGAUGAAGGUCUUCGGAUCGUAAAACUCUGUUAUUAGGGAAGAACAAAUGUGUAAGUAACUAUGCACGUCUUGACGGUACCUAAUCAGAAAGCCACGGCUAACUACGUG
rnacentral:rRNA from 1 species